UGUGGGUUCACCAUCAAUGAUCGAUCUGUAUACCAGUUGUGCUGAAGUGAGUUCUUCACCAAGACCCAUUUGGCCAGCUCCUUUCCAUUGGUUAUGGCGGCAUGAGCAGAUGUUUCUUUACACCAUGUUUCGUAUACAAGGGGUUUAAAAGAUCAUGUUUUGAGUGUGACUGGGAUGACUAAUACAACGGAUUGUGUGUGUACUAACCCACCAGUUUGCAGGCCGGGUAAUGGCCUCCUAAUGUUCAUGAUGCAUUAUGACAGGCCACAACCUGUGUGACUUUCCUGCAAAUAGGCAGUUUGAAUUAGUUAAUGCUAAUGGGAACCUCAAACAUUUAUUGCAUUUUGUACACCCAACAUUAUUGUUCUUACAUGAGGGAAGUUGGGCGGCUGUAAUGUGCGUGUUUCUGUGGGCCCUGGUUAGUGAAUACACCCCACCGACUUGUAUUGCUCACCACCGUCACACUCGUUUUUGAUGAGACUUUGGCUUUCCUACUGUGUUGCAAAGCGUAAUCUAUUUUCUGUUUUGAAAAUUGUAUAAAUAACUCAUACAGUUUUUGUCAGCUAUGAACAAGACAAGUAAAUGCGCACACGU